rnacentral:rRNA from 1 species
UACAUGGGGUGCAAACGUUGCUCGGAAUUAUUGGGCGUAAAGCGCACGUAGGCGGUUUGUUAAGUCGGAUGUGAAAUCCCUCGGCUCAACUGAGGAAGUGCAUCCGAAACUGGCAGGCUUGAGUACUAAAGAGGGUCGCGGAAUUCCCGGUGUAGAGGUGAAAUUCGUAGAUAUCGGGAGGAACACCGGUGGCGAAGGCGGCGACCUGGG